ensembl:lncRNA
CGUCCUCCUCCCUCUCGGAUCAGUCCGUAUGUUCACGGUGCAUUUGUUAUGGAAUAUGUUGAGCAAACCUGGAGAAGCUUCAGCUCAAGAUAUUAAUGUUGUCAUUGCUGUGGAUCUUUACCUGAUACACUGACUUGUGGUGUGGCAGCCAUGAGUGAGCCCUGCAAACCCUGUGGCUGGAGGAUGCAGUGGACAGUGGGAGGAAGCAUCCUGAAGCUCUCUUUGCAGACCACCCUGUGUGAUUCUCCACUCGCCCACCAGAAAAGACAAACCGCAGGUCUCAGUUGCAGCAGCUCAUCCACGUCUGAUCUUGCUCGGGCAGAUUCAGCAACACUGCCAGAGACUUCCUGUAAUCUAUUACAGUUGUUAAAGAAACGGUCCAGGAACAGGUCACUCAGGUUAAUCCUGUGUGAACAACUGAAAAUAUUGUUUUUCCAUCUUUACAUACUGUGUAUUUGAAAUAUUCUUGUUUAAUUGUUAUUGUUAUUUACUUUAUUGCUAUCAAAUAAAUAUCCAAGUAAUAUUGUUCAAAGUUAGCGUUAUGUUCAUACGUGUUACAAAUGCCUGUAAAUCAAAUUGAGUUCAGUGACAAUUACUGUUUGUUUGAAUCAAUUUAUUAAUAACUGUGGAGAAUCGAAAUAUUUUCCUGCUAUUAUUUGCUGCUAUUUUGAUAAUCAUCAUUACCGUUUCAGUGUUAAUAGUGAUGUUGCUUUCCUAGAUGCAUUCAGAUGUUCAAACAUAUUGGUAUCAUAUUAGUCUUUAUUACAGGUCCAGUAAGAACCACUUUAAACUGUUGAGUUGAAUCUAUAACCCGAAGUGCUUUGGAAUGUACAAUUUUAAUGUUUAUGCAGACUGCAGGGUGAAAGAGUAACUCUGUGCUAAAAGAAGACAGGAAGUUAUAUGUCUUUUGAAGUUGCAGGUUUUGCAGAAGUGAAACCGAAAGCAGAGUGAGUGCAAGUUAAGAGCAGGGUGUUUAUUAUGCAUUUAUUGCGGAUUAAGCCUUAAGUAGUUGUGGUAGACUGAAACAGUUGUUUAUAUAUUUUACAUAUAAGUCAAGAUCAUUACACACAGGAUGGCCUUAGCCUGGUUGGUUGCUUAAGUUGAGGUCAACUAAGGUUCAGAAAGCAGAUGCAAACUCUGCACGUACAGACAGACAAAUAGUGAGAGGUCAUGACAUGUACGCAGUACACAGCAUGCACGCGCCCUCGCACGUGUACGCACACACACAUACACACCAUGGUAGAUCUAUUUUGGUAGGGCAGAAGUGAAGAUGUGUUUUUGCUGCAAAGGCAGAAUUGUGCCGACGUACUUAGAGGAAGUGCAACAGAUAAAGCGACAGCGAAGGCGGGCUGACAGGAAGCAUCAGCUGUCGACACGAAGAUGAUGUUCUAUGUUAAAAGUCAUUGUGGUUUUGGAGUGACGUAUUUCUGCCUAGUAACAGAAAAGGGGGCUGUACUAUCUUAACCCCAUAAAACAGUUGUCUGAAUAUGAAAAAGACAGUUCAACACUGAUUGGGUUGUUGAACUCACACGUGUGUUCAUUAAAAUGCCGUCUAAAUUGCACACGCCUGGAUCUGUGGUUAUUUAUGGAUUCUUCUCUCAACAUUGAACCCUAACAUAACAUAAAACCUUUAAACUAAUGCAACACAUAUAACAAUGUAACAAAUAUAUUCAAAUAAAUAAAUUUCUCAAUACAUAACUCAUUUGGGAACUAAUCUUUCUAGAAGUGAAAACAGUCUGUCCGUCCUCUCCCUGCUCUCCUCUCCUCAGCCUCUCUUUGCUGCUUCAUGUCCUCUCUGAUGAGGUCUAGCAGCUCAUCAUCUCCAGGGCUCGCAAAAUUUCAAAAUCUCUGGUAGCCCUUCGGGCAGGCACUCUUCAGUUUUUGGUAGCCCAAAAUAAAUUUAAGUAGC